rnacentral:rRNA from 1 species
GUAAGAGAAGAUAAGAAUAGUGGUAUCCUGAGUAGGUCGGGGCACGUGAAACCUUGAUUGAAACUGGCGGGACCAUCCGCUAAGGCUAAAUACUCCUGAGAGACCGAUAGUGAACCAGUACCGUGAGGGAAAGGUGAAAAGAACCGUGAAUAACGGAGUGAAACAGAUCCUGAAACCAUACGCCUACAAGCGGUCGGAGCUUCUACGUGAAGUGACGGCGUGCCUUUUGCAUAAUGAGCCUACGAGUUACCGUUGCUGGCAAGGAUAAGUGAUUAAGUCAUGGAUCCGUAGCGAAAGCGAGUCUUAAUAGGGCGCUUAAGUCAGUAGUGGUAGACGCGAAACCGUGUGAUCUACCCAUGGGCAGGUUGAAGUUUAGGUAACACUAAAUGGAGGACCGAACCGUUUAACGCUGAAAAGUUUUCGGAUGACCUGUGGGUAGGGGUGAAAGGCCAAUCAAACUCGGAAAUAGCUCGUACUCCCCGAAAUGCAUUUAGGUGCAGCGAUGAUCGAUAGUUACUUAGAGGUAGAGCUACUGAUUGGAUGCGGGGGCUUCACCGCCUACCAAUUCCUGACAAACUCCGAAUGCUAAGUAAUGAUAAUCAUCAGUGAGGGCAUGGGUGCUAAGGUCCAUGUCCGAGAGGGAAAGAACCCAGACCAUCAGCUAAGGUCCCCAAAUGUAUGCUAAGUUGAAAAAACGCGGUUUGAUUGCCCAGACAGCUAGGAUGUUGGCUUGGAAGCAGCCAUUCAUUUAAAGAGUGCGUAACAGCUCACUAGUCGAGCGAUCGAGCAUGGAUAAUAAUCGGGCAUAAGUAUACUACCGAAGCUAUGGAUUUGCGCAUUUAGUUGCGUGAGUGGUAGGGGAGCAUUCUAACGGCGCAGAAGGUGAUUUGUGAGAAUUGCUGGAGCUUUUAGAAAAGAAAAUGUAGGCAUAAGUAACGAUAAGGGGUGCGAGAAACACCCCCGCCGUAAGACUAAGGUUUCCUCAGCUAUGCUAAUCAGCUGAGGGUUAGUCGGGACCUAAGGCACACCCGAAGGGGGACGUCGAUGGCCAACGGGUUAAUAUUCCCGUACUACUGAUAAUUGUGAUGGAGUGACACAGUGAUGAAAGCACCGCGAACUGACGGAAUAGUUCGUUGAAGCACGUACCUAUAGGUUUGAUAGUAAAAUGCGUCAGACUUGGAGAAAUGCGAUAGUACUUUGAGUCUUCGGACAACGAGAUAGUGUGCCUAAGGGCUGUCAAGAAAAGCUUCUAAACUUAGAUUAUUAGUACCCGUACCGUAAACCGACACAGGUAGUCGAGGAGAGUAUCCUAAGGCGCUCGAGAGAUUCAUGGCUAAGGAACUAGGCAAAAUAGACCUGUAACUUCGGGAGAAAGGUCGCCAGCGCAAGCUGGCCGCAGUGAAAAGGUCCAGGCGACUGUUUAUCAAAAACACAGGGCUCUGCAAAAUCGUAAGAUGACGUAUAGGGCCUGACACCUGCCCGGUGCUGGAAGGUUAAGAGGAGAUGUUAUC